CCUACGGGGGCUGCAGUGGGGAAUAUUGGACAAUGGGCGAAAGCCUGAUCCAGCCAUGCCGCGUGUGUGAAGAAGGCCUUCGGGUUGUAAAGCACUUUCAGUGGGGAAGAAAGCCUUGGGGCUAAUACCCUCGAGGAAGGACAUCACCCACAGAAGAAGCACCGGCUAACUCCGUGCCAGCAGCCGCGGUAAUACGGAGGGUGCGAGCGUUAAUCGGAAUUACUGGGCGUAAAGCGCGCGUAGGCGGUCUGAUAAGCCGGUUGUGAAAGCCCCGGGCUCAACCUGGGAAUGGCAUCCGGAACUGUCAGGCUAGAGUGCAGGAGAGGAAGGUAGAAUUCCCGGUGUAGCGGUGAAAUGCGUAGAGAUCGGGAGGAAUACCAGUGGCGAAGGCGGCCUUCUGGACUGACACUGACGCUGAGGUGCGAAAGCGUGGGUAGCAAACAGGAUUAGAUACCCUAGUAGUC
rnacentral:rRNA from 1 species